rnacentral:lncRNA from 1 species
GAGAAUGAGAUUGAACUUCAAAGAAAAAAAAAAAUUGCGGUGUAAUUGAUAAACAACCCUAUAUUAGUUUCAAACGCACAGCAUAGUGGUUAAGUAUUUGCAUGCGAUGGACUGUGGUUUCUGAGCUUGCUGAAUUCCAGAUGGAGAGCACCCAAAAGCAUUUUGGGAACUUUCUGCAGGAUCCUGCUUUUAUUUUGAUUCCACAGUAUCUAUUUGGUACAUAUCGAUUGUUGAGGAAAACGUUUCUUGAAAUAACAGAGAAGAACCGGCUACUAUGGUCCCCACGGAAGGGCCCACCCAUCAUGUGACUGAUGGCAGAACAUGGAAAUGAAAAUAGUGUUGGAGCUUUGUGUGAUGAGCUCACAGUGCUUCGUGAAGCCUGAAUCUUACUCUCACGUCCUCGUGAGGCAUUGGCUUAACUGUAAAAUUCUGUGGAUUGAAUUCCAUUACACGUCAGAAUCUCUAAGGAAAGGAAAACCAUGAUUUCUAAUCCUCAGGUGGCCAGCUGGGUAUUGGAACAAGUGCAGCGAGAUUCCAGAUCUGCUGACGGGUUGAGCAGGCCCUCGGAGUUAAUGAGGAAAGGACGGCGGUAGCAUCUGUUACGACAUCCUUCACUUAGCACUUUACAUGCGUUAUCCUGUUCAGUUCUCAGAAUUCCCCUAAGCUGAGGUCCUGUGAAUGUGAAGGCAAAUUACAAGUUAGGUGAAUUUAAGAGAUUUUACAAGGGUUGCUGGUAUGCGGCAGAGCCAGGACUUGGGACCCAGCUGCUCUGACCUUAAAGCCUUUGUCCUUAACCUCUGCCGUGUCAUGGAAUUUCGUUGCUUGCAUGGGGCUGGUGGCUUGUCCAGAUCCCACAGUGAUUCACCAGGCACUCAGGACUAGGAUCCUCUGUCUGACACUCUAGGAUCUGGACUCCACACUCCGGAGGAGGCCGUUGUCUUUUCUGCCACAUAAACUCAGGCCCGUUUGAAACCUCUGAACAUGCUUCUCCAGGGCUGCAUGGAAAGACCACAGUUUGUUCCGACAUGACGUUGUGAGAGAGCUCCAUUGCAGCUGGAUGGGCCAGUCCAGAAAGCCUGAGUUAAAGAAGAAAUCUAGGGACAGGUCCAGAUUCAAAUCCAGGUCCUUUUGAGAGCUCCUCUUGUAUUGCAGUGUACAUGGAAGAUGUAAAUUGCAAACCUGACUAGUAUUCAUGAGGACACCCCUGGCCUUGCUCAGGGGGUUAAGGAUGCGGCAUUGCCAUGGGCUGUGGUGUAGGUCACAGACGUGGCUCAGAUCUGGUGUGGCUGUGGCUAUGGCUGUGGUGUAGACUGGCAGCUAUAGCUCCAAUUUGACCCCUAGCCUGGGAACUUCCAUAUGCCACGGGUGUGGCCCUGAAAAGACAAGUAAAACAAAACAAAAUAAAAUAAAAUAAAACAAAAAGAGUAGGUUGGCUCCCUGGCCCCACUCGGGGUUAAGGAUCCGGUGUUGCCAUAAGUUGCAGUGUAGGUCGAAGUUGCAAGUUGGAUCCUGUGUUGCUGUGGCCUGUGGUGUAGGCCAGCAGCUACAGCUCCAAUCUGACCCCUAGCCUGGAAACUUACAUAUGCUACGGGUGUGGCCCUAAAAACCAAAAUGAAUAAUAAUAAUAAUACGACUUUAAUAGAAUUCUUCCACAAGUGUUGAAUUUUUUUGUAGGGGGGUGGUGUGGAGGAAAGUAAUUCCUUUGAGAGUUUGAUAACAUGCUUUUGUAGUCAACGAGUGAGUGUUCUUGAAAUCUUAAAGACUUGAGUGUUUGGGCAUCGCUUUUUUCCUGUCUCUUGGAGGGAUCUGACUGCAGCUUGAUAAUAAGGCCUUUUGUGUCCCUGGCGAUUUUAGUUGAGCACCCCGUUCCUAGGACCUGUGUGGUGGGGCGGGCACAGCUCUGGAGAGCCUGGCUUCCCUGCGGUAUUUUCCAGCUACACCUCCCAGCAUCUGAUGCUGGUGUGGGAAUGGGGUAAGCAUAACGAGGUGUUGUGUCCUUGAAACCAAAGCAGCCCUGGUAAUUAGGGCUCGUGUGAGCUGGGAGCCUGUGAGAGAGGCUUCUGGCCCCUCUGCCUUGGGGUUUUAAAGGAAGCAUGCAGCCAAAGAGAGAGGGGAGUCACCCAGGCAAGGAAAUGGGUUAACACUGACAGCUGGCCCAAGUGUAGGGAACAGCAGGAGGGAUGCCUCGUUGACAAUGGUCUUGGAGUGGGGGGCGCGUAGGACCCAGGACGUCUGCUCCCCUACCUUGGUGGGCGCGUGGCGGUUGGACCUUGCAUCGUGUGCAUGGGGAGACUGUGGUUUAGGCUGGGUCAGCUUGAGGGAGUGCGGGGCAGUGAGGCUCUUCCCUGUCCUGAGCUGCUGGGCGCUUGGUCCCUGGGCAAGAGCUGAGUCACCUGCAGGGACCAGGGCAGGACUCCACACCUCUGUGGUUCCUCUGGCUCCCUCCAGUCUCCCUCCUUUCUGUUGCAUCCUUUCCUUCUAGUCUUUCUUGCUUUAGCUUGCUGCCCAGCUGAGCCCAGGACGGCGCAGGACAUGUUCUCCUGAGUGGCCGUCCCCCAGCACAGUUUGUUACGAUUUAUGUAAUGUUUUUCUUCAGAUUAUCUUGAGCCUAACACCAUGAUCUUCUCCAAACAGAAAUGUCUAUAAAAUCACACAUUUGAUGUGCUAGUUAGUUACAUUUUUCUCGAUGUUAUGUUAAAAAUAGGGAGCCACUAAAUUGCGUUCAUCCACAUCUCUCAAAUCUCUCCCGAACCCCAGUGAUCUGCAUACCACACUCUGGAAAAUGCUGGCGGGCAGAAAGAGCCCUUACCCUGAAUUCAGGCCUCAUCUUGGGCCCCUGACCUGCCAUGUGUAUGGUGUUGGGCUCUUCCCCUCCUGUCUCAUUUUCUUCUUCCUAUUGAGCACAGGGUCUCCCCAGGCUCAAGAGUUGCAGGAUGCUGUUCAGUGGUACCUCCAUGGUUCCCCAGCCCCUCUGACAGCACCUCAGGACUCUGCUCAAAGAAAUAGAGACUCUUCAAAUACUGGAGCUCAGGAACAUUUUGCUUCUUAUUUUUAUUUGGGUUUCAGCUCUUACUGCUUGUGAGCCAGAGAAGCAGCUUGAUCAAGUGCACAGAGUGAGAGUUGUGGAGCCCAGCAGCUUCGUGAAUCUCUCCAUCCUUCUGGCUCCUCCUUUCUGAUGGGGGAAAGUGGUCCUCCUGGCAGGACGCCUGCGGAGGCAGCCAGGAGCACAGAUCCACGUGGUGUCUGAUGUGGGUUCCCUCCCCACCCUUAGCCUACAUGGGUGUAGAAGUUAGUUUUGUCUCUGUCCCAGUUACAGAGUUGUUUUUGGACAGAGAUGUAAAGCUUAGCUUCUGAAGCCAUACUGCCUGGGUUUAAAUUCUCGCUCCCCCACUUUCAGCUUCAUAGCUUGGAACUGGUUCCUCAUCACAGGGUCUAUCUGAGGAGGCUAAUAAAGCAGGUAUAAUGUCCACCAUUGUAUCCAGCACAUGGUGAGGGCACUGUCCAUGUUGUUGGGUUUUAUCAUAAUGAAUGAGAUGAUACAUGCCAAAUGGGAUAUAGUACGUGCUCAAUAAAUGUAUGGUCUGGAGUGCUGGCUUCUGGGCAGAGAGCAGGGGAAUGGUUUUCUGCAGACCUUGGUUGGGUCAGAGACUUUUCAUCCUCCCCCCUCCCCCCGCCCCCCUUUAAGCCCUCAUGCCUGUACCCCACCAGCAGGAACCCUCCACUUGGGGACCACACCAGCCCAGCUGAGCUGGUGCACAAAUCUCUCCUCUCUGUUUGUUUUUUUUUUUUUUUUCCUUUUUUCUUUUUAGGGCUGCACCCGCAGCAUAUGGAGAUUCCCAGGCUAGGGGUCGAAUUGGAGCUGCUUGCCACUAGCCUAUGCACAGUCACAGCAAUGCCAGAUCCUAGCCGCGUCUAUAACCUACACCACAGCUCCUGGCAAUGCCAGAUCCUUAACCCACUGAGUGAGGCCAGGGAUUGAACCCACAACCUCAUGGUUCCUAGUCGGAUUCAUUUCCGCUGAGCCAUAAUGGGAACUCCUGUUGGGCUUUGAAAGAAUCGUAGCUCAGUUUUGGGAAAGGCAAUCCAGUACAGCUUUCAGAAGUUAAAAUAUGUGCAUAAAACAUUGUAUACUGAAAAAUUCCCCUCCUGUCCUUGUCCUCAUCUGCCCAGUCCCCUCCAGCUUGCCCUCCCUCCCUAAAUCCUUGAGCCCUGAGUAACCACUGUUUAUGUUUCCAGGGUCCUCUUUGUUUAGUUUAUUAAGACAUUAUUUACAUACAAUGAAACUCACCAGUUUAAGCACACAGUUUAAUGAGUUUUGGUGGUCAUCUCUUGGCCAGCAGUCCACCCUUACCCUGAAAAGUUUGCUUGUGCCCCUUUGCACUCCCUCCCCCCUUCCUUAGGCAGCCACUCAUCUGCUUUGUCACUGUAGUUCUGCCUUUUCUAUAAUUUCCUAAAAAUGAAAUGACAGAACCUGGUCUUCUGUGCUUCUUUCACCCAGCAUGAUUUUUUUGGCGGUUCACCCACGUUGGUGCAUGUACUGCUAUUCCUUUUCUGGGCUGUAUAGGACUCCAGUAUUUAUGGCGUUUACCAUAGUCUGUCCAUUCACCCGUUGAUGGACAUUUGGAGUUGCUUCCGGGUUUGGGAUGUUAUGAAUUAUUCUGCUAUCAAUCUUCACUAGUGAGUUUUUGGUAAACUUGUUUUUUUUCUGUCCUCAUUUCUAUAGACCUAACAAAGAAAUACAAAUAAAUUCUGUACCUCCCCCCCUUUUUUUACAUAAAGGGUGAAAUAUUAUAAUAAUGCUCCUGCAUCCUGUGUUUUUUGAAAUGGCCACAACACCAUAUGACAAGAUUCAUCUCCAGUCUCGUUUGGUCAUAUGUCCCCUAGCAUCCCAGGUACUCAGGAUACCAAGUGGAAGUGGGUGCCGGCCUGCUGGAACUUCUGGGAAGGUGAUGGAGGUGGGUGUGGCUGCAGAGAGGUUUGCUCUCCGGGCCUUGUUCCGUCUAAUAGGGCUUCUGGCUCUGUGGGUCAUUGAAGAGGGUGCGGGUGAGGCUAUGGUGGGCGUGGGUGGGGUCACAAGAGUAUUUUGACAUCAGGAUUAGGAAGGAAAUCAGUUUCUGCACCAAUCGUGUCCUGCUGCAGAACCACGAGUGCUUAGCAGAGGGACUGCUGCCCUUUACAGUCCUGGCAGCGAGGCCGGGCGAGUGGAUUGCUGAUCCGUCUUGAAGAAUGUUCAGUUUACUAAGGUGGACAGUGGAGCGAAUUGGGUGUUUGCUCAGAACACAUCCUGUUGACUGAAGUCUUACUUUUACAUGUCCCCAGUCCCCCUUGCCUUCUAGUCCCCAACAUCCCUCUGCCCCCCCAAGGAUACAGUGUUUUGAACUUUUUGGGAGAGCUUAAGCUUGAUAGCAUGUGCAGGUUUGCAUAAACAAGGAAGGCUGUUGAGGUCUGUACCUUCUUAUCUUCUGGUAGUUCUAUUAGCAGACAACAGGAUAUGGGAAACCAAAUCCACUCUUUAAGUACAUUACACAUUGUCUAAGGAUGUCUUCUCUUGCCGCCGUACUGUCCACUAGAACGUUCCAUGAUGAUGGAACUGUCCUGUGUCUGUGUGCUAUUCUUUAAUUAGUCGCCACAUGUGGCUCUUGGGCCCUUGAAAUGUGUCCGGUGUGAUUGAGGAACUGAAUAUUAUUUAGUUUAGUUUUGAUUAACUUUAUCUUGAAUGGGUAUAUGUGGCUGUUGGCUGUUCUGUGGGACAGUGCGGGUCCAGAUGAAUGUUGACUCCCCUUGAGAAACUUUCUUCAGUUUAAAAAGUUAUUGUGGAGUUCCCAUCGUGGCGCAGCAGAAACGAAUCUGACUAGUAACCAUGAGGAUGCAGAUUUGAUCCCUGGCCUCGCUCAGUAGGUUAAGGAUCCGGUGUUGCCGUGAGCUGUGGUGUAGGUCGCAGACUUGGCUCGGAUCUGGUGUUGCUGUGGCUGUGGUGUAGGCCGGCAGCCACAGCUCCGAUUGGACCCCUGGCCUGGGAACCCCCAUAUACUGUGGGUGCGGC